rnacentral:rRNA from 1 species
UACGUAGGGUGCGAGCGUUAAUCGGAAUUACUGGGCGUAAAGCGUGCGCAGGCGGUUUUGUAAGUCUGUCGUGAAAUCCCCGGGCUCAACCUGGGAAUUGCGAUGGAGACUGCAAGGCUAGAAUCUGGCAGAGGGGGGUAGAAUUCCACGUGUGAGCAGUGAAAUGCGUAGAGAUGUGGAGGAACACCGAUGGCGAAGGCAGCCCCCUGGGUCAAGAU